rnacentral:rRNA from 1 species
CUCUUUUUGUUUAUAAUUUAAAGUAGGGCCUGCCCACUGAAUUAUUUAAAGGGCCGCAGUAUUUUGACUGUGCAAAGGUAGCAUAAUCAUUAGUUUUUUAAUUGAAAGCUUGUAUGAAUGGUUUGAUGAAAAAAUUACUGUCUCAGUUUUAAUAAUUAAAAUUUUAUUUUUAAGUUAAAAAGCUUAAAUAAAUUUAAAAGACGAGAAGACCCUAUAGAACUUUAUUAAUUUAAAUUAAUAAAUUUAAGUAUUUAAAAUUUUUUAAUUGAAAAUUAAUUUAAUUGGGGUGAUUGAAAAAUUAAAUAAACUUUUUUUUUAUUUAUACAUUAAUUAAUGAAUUUUUGAUCCAUUAAAAUGAUUAAAAGAUUAAGUUACCUUAGGGAUAACAGCGUAAUUUUUUUGAAGAGUUCUUAUCGAUAGAAAAGAUUGCGACCUCGAUGUUGGAUUAAAAUUUAUUUUUGGUGUAGAAGCUAAAAUAUUAGGUCUGUUCGACCUUUAAAAUUUUACAUGAUCUGAGUUAGAACCGGA